rnacentral:rRNA from 1 species
GACGAACGCUGGCGGCGUGCUUAACACAUGCAAGUCGAGCGGGAAACUUCGGUUUCCAGCGGCGGACGGGUGAGUAACACGUGAGCAACUUGCCUCACAAUGAGGGAUAGCCCUCCGAAAGGAGGAUUAAUACCUCAUAACACAAGAGAAACGCAUGUUUCUCUUGCCAAAGAAUUUCGUUGUGAGAUGGGCCCGCGGCGCAUUAGCUUGUUGGUGAGGUAACGGCUCACCAAGGCUUCGAUGCGUAGCCGACCUGAGAGGGUGAUCGGCCACAUUGGAACUGAGACACGGUCCAGACUCCUACGGGAGGCAGCAGUGGGGAAUAUUGCACAAUGGAGGAAACUCUGAUGCAGCAACGCCGCGUGAGUGAUGAAGGUCUUCGGAUUGUAAAGCUCUGUCUUCUGGGACGAUAAUGACGGUACCAGAGGAGGAAGCCACGGCUAACUACGUGCCAGCAGCCGCCGUAA